CAUUAAUUAUAUUUUUGUGUUUGACAAGACCUUCGGUCUUGUGCCUACGUACCAACAUAAAAAUGAGGGAUCAAAACCUCGUAGUUCGUGAUACAAAUUUCAAAGUGGAAGCCAUUAAUUUUAACAAAAUUUAAGUUUGAAAGGCACAAAGGCCUAAAAUGGUUUGAAUGAGUUAGUUCUUUUUUUCGCUUUUUGAAAGUUUAAGUCAAGUAUAGUUAAGUUUAUUU
rnacentral:lncRNA from 1 species